GGACCCAUUUAUUGUACAAAUUUUUUAGUCUUACGAUAAGAUUAUAAGUUAACAAUAAUGUAGAGCAUUUAUGUAAAUUUUGACCUAGCUUUCUAGGGUAGGUUAGGCCUAUAGCCUUUUUGACUUUUUAGCUUUUAGUUUUACAAUUUUAAAAACGUGUGAAGAAUAGAUUGUAAAGUUUGAUUGUAAAGUUUCUUUCGUUCUAUAAAUAAAGAAAGC
rnacentral:lncRNA from 1 species